rnacentral:rRNA from 1 species
UGGGGAAUAUUGGACAAUGGGCGAAAGCCUGAUCCAGCCAUGCCGCGUGUGUGAAGAAGGUCUUCGGAUUGUAAAGCACUUUAAGUUGGGAGGAAGGGCAGUAAGCGAAUACCUUGCUGUUUUGACGUUACCGACAGAAUAAGCACCGGCUAACUCUGUGCCAGCAGCCGCGGUAAUACAGAGGGUGCAAGCGUUAAUCGGAAUUACUGGGCGUAAAGCGCGCGUAGGUGGUUCGUUUAGUUGAAUGUGAAAGCCCCGGGCUCAACCUGGGAACUGCAUCCAAAACUGGCGAGCUAGAGUAGGGCAGAGGGUGGUGGAAUUUCCUGUGUAGCGGUGAUAUGCGUAGAUAUAGGAAGGAACACCAGUGGCGAAGGCGACCACCUGGGCUCAUACUGACACUGAGGUGCGAAAGCGUGGGGAGCAAACAGG